CUACGUAGGGUGCGAGCGUUAAUCGGAAUUACUGGGCGUAAAGCGUGCGCAGGCGGUUUUGUAAGACAGAGGUGAAAUCCCCGGGCUCAACCUGGGAACUGCCUUUGUGACUGCAAGGCUAGAGUACGGCAGAGGGGGAUGGAAUUCCGCGUGUAGCAGUGAAAUGCGUAGAUAUGCGGAGGAACACCGAUGGCGAAGGCAAUCCCCUGGGCCUGUACUGACGCUCAUGCACGAAAGCGUGGGGAGCAAACAGGAUUAGAUACCCUGGUAGUCCACGCCCUAAACGAUGUCAACUGGUUGUUGGGUCUUCAUUGACUCAGUAACGAAGCUAACGCGUGAAGUUGACCGCCUGGGGAGUACGGCCGCAAGGUUGAAACUCAAAUGAAUUGGCGGGG
rnacentral:rRNA from 1 species